GUCUAAGGUUUUAUGUAUGUUGCUUAGAUUUUGUUGAUUAGCAACUUUCAAUUGUUAUUCUUUGCUAAUUUGUUGGGCUUAGGACUGUGUGGGGGAGUCUUUGGAAAUUAUUUUUUUGUUGGGUUUGAUUGGCUAUGCACUGCUACUUCUGAUUAGGCACUAUUUAUGCAUAUAAAUAAUUGUUUAUUUGAAGCAUUUUUUUUCAUUCUUUUCAUUAUGAGUUUU
rnacentral:misc_RNA from 1 species